CUGGACUGUCCCUGUCCACUGUACAUUGAACCUGCAAAACUGGGGUUAAGGGAGUGGGAUGAGCUCUAUAGCCCAGUGAGUAGAACAGUAAAACAUCUCAGUAAAAUAUGAUCUCAUGGAAUGCGCCAUAACACAGACAAGCCACAUCAAGAGUAAACCUGUCACCACAUAGUCCCAGUAACUCUGUGCCAGGGCGUAGAAUCGAGCACCUGGUCUUCCUGUCAUAUAUGUAUAUGUGUAUAUAACACCUGUGAACUUACCAUUGCCAGGGCGUAGUCAAAGGCGCCUGGACUUUGCUAUAUACCUGCCAGGGCGUAGUCAAAGGCUCCUGGUCUUUGCUAUACGUGCCAGGGCGUAGUCAAAGGCUCCUGGACUUCCUGUCUGAGACUAUUGGAUCAUUCAGCAUUCACUCACAUCACCAAAUAACAAUGCAAUGCAACAUAGUCGUGAAUACUAAUGCAAUCAACCUAUGGCAUAAACAUGAUGCAUGAGAUAUGCUAAAAACAGGUUGUGGUUCAAUUAAAAGUCAUAAGUUGAGGUCCACUCACCUCUGGCUCUCUGGACUGACUGACUCUGCAGGUUUACCUCUGGAGCAGUACUCACUGCUGCUCUCUCUGGUUCCUCUGGUCU
rnacentral:lncRNA from 1 species